AUCUAUAUAGCUUAUACAGAGUAUAAUAUUGAAGAUGUUAGGGAGAUAAAUCUAUCUAUAGAUA
rnacentral:tRNA from 1 species